rnacentral:rRNA from 1 species
GAUGAACGCUAGCUACAGGCCUAACACAUGCAAGUCGUGGGGCAGCGGGUAUGCUUGUUUUCAAGUAUAUGCCGGCGACCGGCGCACGGGUGAGUAACGCGUAUCCAACCUGCCCAUCACAAGGGAAUAACCCGUCGAAAGUCGGCCUAAUGCCCUAUGUAUUCCGAUGAAGUCCUCUGAAUCGGAAUAAAGCAUUUGCGGUGAUGGAUGGGGAUGCGUCUGAUUAGCUUGUCGGCGGGGUAACGGCCCACCGAGGCGACGAUCAGUAGGGGUUCUGAGAGGAAGGUCCCCCACAUUGGAACUGAGACACGGUCCAAACUCCUACGGGAGGCAGCAGUGAGGAAUAUUGGUCAAUGGGCGUGAGCCUGAACCAGCCAAGUAGCGUGCAGGAUGACGGCCCUAUGGGUUGUAAACUGCUUUUAUACGGGGAUAAAAGGGUGAACGUGUUCUCCUUUGCAGGUACCGUAUGAAUAAGGACCGGCUAAUUCCGUGCCAGCAGCCGCGGUAAUACGGAAGGUCCUGGCGUUAUCCGGAUUUAUUGGGUUUAAAGGGAGCGCAGGCUGCACUUUAAGCGUGUUGUGAAAUGUACCGGCUCAACCGGUAACGUGCAGCGCGAACUGGGGUGCUUGAGUACGAAGAGGGAAAGCGGAACUCGUGGUGUAGCGGUGAAAUGCUUAGAUAUCACGAGGAACUCCGAUCGCGAAGGCAGCUUUCCGUUUCGGAACUGACGCUGAGGCUCGAAAGUGCGGGUAUCGAACAGGAUUAGAUACCCUGGUAGUCCGCACGGUAAACGAUGGAUGCUCGCUGUUGGAUAUUUUUAUUCAGUGGCUAAGUGAAAACGUUAAGCAUCCCACCUGGGGAGUACGCCGGCAACGGUGAAACUCAAAGGAAUAGACGGGGGCCCGCACAAGCGGAGGAACAUGUGGUUUAAUUCGAUGAUACGCGAGGAACCUUACCCGGGCUUGAAUUGCAGCUGAACGAUCCAGAGAUGGUGAGG